AACGAACGCUGGCGGCAUGCCUAACACAUGCAAGUCGAACGAGACCUCCGGGUCUAGUGGCGCACGGAUGCGUAACGCGUGGGAACCUGCCCUUAGGUUCGGAAUAACUCCCUGAAAGGGGUGCUAAUACCGGUUAAUGUCUUCGGACCAAAGAUUUAUCGCCUUUGGAUGGGGCCGGGUUGGAUUAGCUAGUUGGUAGGGUAAUAGCCUACCAAGGCGACGUUGCAUAGCUGGUCUGAGAGGAUGAUCAGCCACACUGGGACUGAGACACGGACCAGACUCCUACGGAAGGGAGCAGUGGAGAAUAUUGGACGAUGGGCGCAAGCCUGAUCCAGCAGUGCCGCGUGAGUGAUGAAGGCCUUAGGGUUGUAAAGCUCUUUUACCCGGGGUGAUAAUGACGGUACCGGGAGAAUAAGCUCCGGCUAACUCCGUG
rnacentral:rRNA from 1 species